rnacentral:lncRNA from 1 species
GCCAGCAGCUACAGCUCUGAUUCAACCCCUAGCCUGGGAACUUCCACAUGCCAUGGGCAUUGCCCUAAAAAGACACAAAAACAAAACAAAAAAAAAAAGGCAAAAACUGAAAAACCCAAAUGUCUAUGAAUAGGAGGAUGACAACACAAUGUGAUAGGAGACUGGAGGACAGACACCAAAAUGCUGACCUGAUUAACUCUGAAGAGGCAGGUAGGACUAGUGAGUGUGGGCAAUAAAAUUCUGUAACACUGGAGUCUUUUCAACGACAACUUAAUCAUACAACUAAGACAUGAACACAAACCAAAAAUAUAAAUGUGCUAACAGAUUCCAGAUCCGGUAUCUUAAAAAAAAAAUCAACAAUUUUUUAGCAACACCAAUAACAGCGGAUGAAACAUACACUCUCUCAACAUGACUAUUACGAAAAGAAUGCUUUCACUGAAAUGUAUAGAAUAAUAUUUUUGUCAGGUUUUUAAAAAAAUAUCCAAUUACAUUUUUCUAUUUGCAACCAUUAGUGUUCCAGAGCUGUGUUCCAUGGGGAAACUGGGCCCCUCAUUACCACUGCUGUCAACAGCCCUUUAAAGACGGCAAUUCCUUAGCCAAGGCAAAGAACUACAAGUGCAACCCUAGACAGAACUCUAGAUGCAAGCAAAAGCAGAUGAAGCCCCAUUCCUGGACUUAAUUAAUAGCACAAAACCAAAGGAGGAUUUUAAAAUGCCUAUUCCAGGGCUGCUCCAGAGUUCAAAGUCCAAUAAUAGCCUACAACAUCAACUCCUUACUUGAAAGCUUUUUGUAGGACAGUAAAAAGUAUAUUCUAUCAUACAACAAUGUUCUUCUUACUGAAACUAAAGAAUAGUUCUACAACUGGUCAAAGGGGGUUAAAGGAAGGAAAGAAUCAAAAACAAUGAAGUGACUUCUGGCAUAGCCUAAAAAAAAAAAACAGAGUGAAACAAUGGAAAACUUCAACACUAAGAAUUGCUUUCUUGGGAGUUCCCGUCGUGGCGCAAAAUAUAUUUUAUAGACAUAGAGAGGAAAGGGGAGAUCCAUCUAGGAUAGAAUAUAACUAGGAGCCUCAUUCGCAUAUUCAGCUCAGCACAGACACCAUGAGCUGGGGCCCUGACCAAUCAGAGCAGAUGUCAGUCAAACAAGGGCUUGGGGAUGGGGAGUGGUGGGACAAUUAACACCAAGAGAAAACAGGAGACAAAUGUAGGGUUAUUAGGAUGAAUAAAAGUGUUAAAUCUUUAUAAGACUUUCAGCUUGAAAAAAUUUUAAUAAGAUUUAUCUCCUCUGAUCAUCACCUACCUCUGGAAGCUGGACAUUACAAUAUUCCUACGUUGAAGAAAAGGAAACCAGGACAAAUGAAGGGACUCAGCCCAGGGCACUCAGUCAGCAAAGGGAGCGAACUAUGAAGCCCAUCUCUUGACCACAGGCAGCCACGUAUUAGAUUAGAAAGUGCUUUAUAUGUCAAGAUGUUAGACUUUAUUUUAUAGGAAAUGAGUUUUCAACCAAGGAUACAACAUAAAGACUUUUAGGACAUUUCCUUAUGGUGCAGCAGGUUAAGGAUCCGACGUUGUCACUGCUGAGGCUCUGGUUACCGCUGUGGCAUGGGUUCCACCCCUAGCCUGGGAACUUCUGCAUGCCAUUGGUACAGCCAAAAAAAAAAAAACCCCAAUGUUCAUCUGGGAGACAAGAGAAUUUGAUGAACUAAGGAAUGACUGAAGAGGAAAGAAAGAGUCUUAGAAGACUACUGAAAGAGUGACUACUGAAAAAUGACAAGGCGUGAGAAGGACGGUAAUGGGACCUGUAUGUGCCUGUGAUAUUAUGAUAUAAAAAACAGAUCUAUUUGGUCUUUGUUCUUGCUCCUGGCAGAGAGCUUCCAGGACCUUUGGAGUUUCCAAAGUGACAGAGGUAACAAAAGUGUCUUUUGAUAUCCAAAGCUAACCCCUUUCAACCAUUCCUGAAUUUACCCUAAAGGUAGGGGCUGGAACCAACCCUGUGAUUAGAAGGUUGAAACUUUCAGCUCCACCUCACCCUCCUCACUCCCAAUUCAUCCCCUCCCCCUAAGGAAGACAGGGGGACUGGUUAAUGAUGGUCCCCAUUAACGGUGACCAAUGAUUUCAUGAAUCAUGCCUACAUAAUAAAACCUCCAUUAAAAACCCUAAAUGGAAGUCCCCAUUUGUGGCUAAGCAGAAAUGAACCUGACUAGUAUCCAUGAGAAUGCAAGUUUGAUCCCU